rnacentral:rRNA from 1 species
UACGUAGGGCGCAAGCGUUGUCCGGAAUUAUUGGGCGUAAAGAGCUCGUAGGCGGUGUGUCACGUCGGCCGUGAAAACCUGCAGCUUAACUGUGGCGUGCGGUCGAUACGGGCAUCACUGGAGUUCGGCAGGGGAGACUGGAAUCCUGGUGUAGCGGUGAAAUGCGCAGAUAUCAGGAGGAACACCGGUGGCGAAGGCGGGUCUCUGGGCCGGAUACUGACGCUGGAGGAGCGGAAAGCGUGGGGAGCAAACAGG